rnacentral:rRNA from 1 species
UACGAAGGUCCCGAGCGUUAUCCGGAUUUAUUGGGUUUAAAGGGUGCGUAGGCGGGUUAUUAAGUCAGUGGUGAAAGCCUUCAGCUUAACUGAAGAAUUGCCAUUGACACUGAUGAUCUUGAGUAUGAUUGAGGUGGGCGGAAUGUGUCAUGUAGCGGUGAAAUGCUUAGAUAUGACACAGAACACCGAUUGCGAAGGCAGCUCACUAAGCCAUAACUGACGCUGAUGCACGAAAGCGUGGGGAGCAAACAGG